UUUAGAACUCGAGAUAUGGGCUGAAUACUAAAUAGUGUCUGGGCUGUAGGACAGAUUUCGACUUCUCUGUUGUUGCUAAGAUAUGGACUUCCAAACAACAAAAUUGACUCUUUCACUCCUUAUGAAUGUUUUAGGCCUAUGUCUUAGCUUUCUAGC
rnacentral:pre_miRNA from 1 species